ensembl:lncRNA
CACUUGUCACCAUGAUGAGAAUCCUCACUGCUCUAUUAGUUCUGCAUUUUUCUUCAAGCGAAGAGGUUCUCGUUGAGUCUGCGGUCACCAUGGCGGUGAAAAUCGGGGACACAGUCAUCCUGCACUGCAGCCACAAGCACAGUGAAGAAACUCUUUGGCUUGGACAGCGCUGCGAUGAGGUUCCCUUCAUCAUUAUAUGCGCCGGUUGUGGAUAUAGAGAUAAAUACUUCAGGGGCUUUAACGGGCAAUUUUCGACCGUGAAGAACUCACGCAACGGUUCUAUCGGCCUGCGGAUUCGAAACGUUUCUGAUUCAGACCUGGGACUUUUCUACUGCACUACAAAGUUUGGAGUUCCCAUGCUUGUAGGAUCAGGUUACAAGCUUUACCGCGCAGAAGGUCCGGCUUCACCCACAUCGAGUCCCCCUGACUACGUGACAACCCGUCCCGCUUCCCCGGGGUCCUCAGCUUGUCUUGGGUUGUCCCACAUCUGGGCCUUGGCUCUGUGUCCGCUGUGUGCUCUGCUUGCGGCUCUCAUCUCCGCCAGCUGUGUCUGCUGGGUCUGCCGGCGAAAAGAAGGUCAUAUGGAUUCCUGGUUGGCAAGAUUUAUAACCCAGAAAAAAUAUCAGGAUGAAGCGGAAGACAGACCACAGGAAGAAGAUCAAGAAGUGAUUUACAGCACAGUAUGUAUCAGUGGAGACAAGCAUGCCAAAACAAGAGGAACGGAGGAUUAAUUUUUCCCUUUGCCUCUUUGAAAUUUCAGAAAACAAAAUCCAGCUUUUAUUUAUCUCUUGUGAUAUUUCUACAAUGUUAAAAUUAGUUUCUUUUUUUUUUUUAAAUUAUCCAACUGCUAUUGUUGCUGUUGUUUUUCUUUCUCGAUAGGGUUAAAACGGAUAACGAGUAACACGAAUGUGCCCUUCCGAUCAAACGUUUAACCCUUUGCGUAAUGUUACGGCUUAAAUAAUUCCUUUAAUGAAACGUCACCGAUUUACACAGUCCGGUAUUUCAGUGGAGCAGUUCAGCAAUAACAGGAGCGCAGUGAAAUCUACAGCAGGGCUUGUCUUGAAAUGGAUCCAACCGCUUUAACCACUACAUGACCAGAGACAGAAGAUGCUGCUUAAGUUAUAAGUCGCAUUACUUCUGUUUUCCUACCUGUUUGGAACAUGUGCGCUUUACGUCAUUUUUGUUUUUACGUGAAAAUAUUUAUAUGGUCGGCUGAGAACAUCUGAAACUCGGCUCAUGAGAAAGGUUCGAGAUGCUUUUUUGCUAGCACUUCGUGAAGCUUCUGCCCUAACCGAGGACACCAUUUGACAGGAUCCUCAACGCAGCAUCAAGAUAAAACAGCAAUGUGACGGUGCGAACUCCACAAAGCAUCUGUAUUGCAUAUGGCAUAUCUUUCACUUUGAUGUGAGAGUGGCGGAAUAUAUUUAGCUGGGCAUAUUGACUACGUGUGACUGUGUGAAACCACAGACCCAGGUCCUCGCAAUCAGAAUUUCCAUCAGUAGCUCAGCGGCACUUACAAUAGGAGACUGCGAAACCACAAAAUGUUCGCUCCGCUGUUGAGUUCUUAAAACAUCCUCUGUAAAAACAAGUGUGCUUUGUUUUGAUGAGGCACAAGGAAAUAACUUGAAUGGAAUAAAUUUAACAAAACAAGUC